rnacentral:antisense_RNA from 1 species
GGCCCGAAAGCUCUAGAAUGCACCCCCCUUCUUCCCCGGGGCCUUCCACCUCCGCGAGUUUUAUGACUUAAAAAACCCCACAGGCUGGUCUGAAGAGGAAGACAAACAUAAAGAUGAAGUGCUUAAUUCAAGGUCACACAAUGUCGGGGAUGGACCUCCAGAUUUCCUUACUGGUGAGACGUGGUCUUGUAACACAGUGGUUAAGAAUGUGACUUUGGAGCCAGCCUGCUAGGGGCUGAAUUCUGACUCAGCCAUUUACUAACUGUGUGACCUUAGGUCACAGAAUUUUCCACACUCCUUGACGGAGGUGCUUAACCCUUAUCCAUCAGCAUUCUCAGACAGCACCUCCGGUUAGGGACAGUAUCUGACCGUCCGACAUCCCUGCAGCCCCCAUGUGUCACACAGACUCAGCCUCAGGUAGAUGGUUUCCGUAGAUGGUGGCUUUCUUUGGACCCUUGACAUCAACCAGUUACUAUUUGCCAGAGACAGACUCCCAGACUCGGCCAGAGGCUGAUGCCGACUCCUUCCAGCUCUCACGGUAACCAUGAGGCCCCUGCGUGUUUCUGCUGUGGAGGUCCCAGAGGGAACUGUAUGGACAGACACAGCCUGAAGGGCCAUCUGCCUCAAGCCACAGCAGCACAGAAUUCUAAAGAUUGUGGGGAAGGAUGGCGCCUAGGGGACCAGAUGUGCAGAGGUAAUGAAUACCAGGGAAUCAGGAAACCACUGGAUCAGUUCUUUGAGCCACAGAACAACACUCAUCCCAGCAGCUGGGAAGCUAUCUGCAAAAGUCCAUCUGCAGAAAGGGCUUCCUGGUCUUGCGUGUGGCUGGGCCAUUUCUCUGGAUGCAGGUUUUUCAUUAUACAGUCUUCUCAAAGAAACACCUGCUCUCAACACCUUCUCGGUGACUCCAUUUCCCCUCCUCU